rnacentral:rRNA from 1 species
GACGAACGCUGGCGGCGUGCCUAAUACAUGCAAGUCGAGCGAGCGGAACCAACAGAUUUACUUCGGUAAUGACGUUGGGAAAGCGAGCGGCGGAUGGGUGAGUAACACGUGGGGAACCUGCCCCUAAGUCUGGGAUACCAUUUGGAAACAGGUGCUAAUACCGGAUAAUAAAGCAGAAUCGCAUGUAUCAAGCUUUGAAAGGUCGGCGUAAGCUGUCGCGUAAGGGAUGGCCCGCGGUGCAUUAGCUAGUUGGUAAGGUAACGGCUUACCAAGGCGACGAUGCAUAGCCGAGUUGAGAGACUGAUCGGCCACAUUGGGACUGAGACACGGCCCAA